GCAGAUCGCGUUCCGUAGUGAAGUGCGACAAACCGAACAAAUUUCUGCCCUAUCAACUGAGGACGGUAGCAUAGAGGGCUACGGUGGUUUUGACGGGUAACGGAGAAUUAGGGUUCGAUUCCGGAGAGGGGGCAUGAGAAAUGGCCACCACUUCCAAGGAAGGCAGCAGGCGCGUAAAUUAUCCAAUGGCGACACGCCGAGAUAGUGACAACAAAUAACAAUGGCAGUAUGUAAAGUACGGCCAAUUGGAAUGAAGACAAAUUAAACCCCUUACUGAGAAUCAAUUGGAGGGCAAGUCUGGUGCCAGCAGCCGCGGUAAUUCCAGCUCCAAUAGCGAAUACUAAUUUUGUUGCAGUUAAAACGCUCGUAGUUGGAAGUUUUCUAAUAAUUGUGGUGUAUACUUUAAUGGUGUGCUUAAUUGUAUGCUAUUGAAUGUUAUCGACUAUAAUUAUUGUAAAAAUAGAGAGAUAUUAGCGAGUAAAAAUUGUUAAUAUGUCAAGUUACUGUGAAUAAAUUAGAGUGUUUAAAGCGAUCGGGUUGAAAGAGACCACGGAGUGAAUACGAAAGCAUGGGAUAAGAGAAGAAGAAGUGAAAGAUAGCAGCCAGGGUGAAAGUGAAUAUGUUUCGAGAAAUGAAAAAGAGGAACGGUCGGGGGUAUUUGAAUUGAAUAGCUAGCGGUGAAAUGCGAGGAUUUGUUCAAGACAAACAUCAGAAAAGCAUUUACCAAGGACGAGUCCAUUAAUCAAGAACGAAAGUUUGGGGAUCGAAGAUGAUUAGAUACCGUCGUAGUCCAAACUAUAAACGAUACCGACCAAGGAUGAGAGGUCGUUGUAUAUAAUAUUGACAGUGCAAGUGAUUGCGUUGUGAAUAGAUGAGGACUCCUUUCGGACUUUAGAGGGAAACCAUUGAGUGAUUAGGUUCUGGGGGGAGUACGGUCGCAAGGCUGAAACUUGAAGGAAUUGACGGAAGGGCACCACCAGGUGUGGAACCUGCGGCUUAAUUCGACCCAACACGGGGAAACUUACCAGGUCCGGACACAGGAAGGAUUGACAGAUUGAGAUUUGGGUUCUUUCUUGAUUCUGUGGGUGGUGGUGCAUGGCCGUUCUUAGUUCGUGGAACUGAUCUGUCUGCUUAAUUGCGUUAGCGAACGAGACCUUAGUUUAUUUAUUAGAUUAGAAUAACAUUUGUUAUGUCUAAUAGAAAUCGUCAAUGAUUUCUUUUGCUUCUUAAAAGUACUAUUCAUACCCAGU
rnacentral:rRNA from 1 species